AUUGAACGCUGGCGGCAGGCUUAACACAUGCAAGUCGAACGAGUGGCGGACGGGUGAGUAAUGCUUGGGAAUCUAGCUUAUGGCGGGGGAUAACUACGGGAAACUGUAGCUAAUACCGCGUACCAUAGGAUGAGCCCAAGUGGGUUUAGGUAGUUGGUGAGGUAAAGGCUCACCAAGCCGACGAUCUCUAGCUGGUCUGAGAGGAGGACCAGCCACACUGGGACUGUGACACGGCCCAGACUCCUACGGAAGGCAGCAGUAGGGAAUAGUGCGCAAUGGGGGCAACCUGACGCAGCCAUGCCGAGUGAAUGAAGAAGGCCUUCGGGUUGUAAAGUUCUUUCGGUAGCGAGGCGUUAACUACAGAAGAAGCACCGGCUAACUCCGUGCCAGCAGCCGCGGUAAUAC
rnacentral:rRNA from 1 species